rnacentral:tmRNA from 1 species
GCCCUUUUCUUGGGGUCUCAAAAGACCUAUAUCCCCCUUGCCGUCUUCGGGCGGCUAUGGCGAUAAACAGGCGAUGGAAUAAACCUAUUGGACCCGGGGGCGGUACCCGGCGCCUCCACCAAAAACCGGUCGAUCGUGACUGACAUGUCAGGGGCGACUCACAUGUCAGAAAUGGCAGACCGGCUUUUGAUGGGGGCGAAAUAGGAUCGACAAGGGCGUAAAGAUCGACUUUUUGCUCGGCAUUGUACCACCGUUAUCGGGCUAAAAUUGUAGUUGCAAACGACAACUAUGCGGAAGCUCGUCUCGCUGCUUAAUCGCAGUGUGACACUUCAAAUCAAGUCCUAAGGGGUCGCACCUUUAGGCGGGGUUCGGAGGUACCUGGCAACAGAAACCUCCACU